rnacentral:rRNA from 1 species
UACGUAGGGAGCAAGCGUUGUCCGGAUUUACUGGGUGUAAAGGGUGCGUAGGCGGCUAUGCAAGUCAGGCGUGAAAGCCCGGGGCUCAACCCCGGAAUUGCGCUUGAAACUGUGUAGCUUGAGUGAGGUAGAGGCAGGCGGAAUUCCCGGUGUAGCGGUGAAAUGCGUAGAGAUCGGGAGGAACACCAGUGGCGAAGGCGGCCUGCUGGGCCUUAACUGACGCUGAGGCACGAAAGCGUGGGUAGCAAACAGG